rnacentral:rRNA from 1 species
CCUACGGGAGGCAGCAGUCGAGAAUCAUUCACAAUGGGGGAAACCCUGAUGGUGCGACGCCGCGUGGGGGAAUGAAGGUCUUCGGAUUGUAAACCCCUGUCAUGUGGGAGCAAAUUAAAAAGAUAGUACCACAAGAGGAAGAGACGGCUAACUCUGUGCCAGCAGCCGCGGUAAUACAGAGGUCUCAAGCGUUGUUCGGCAUCACUGGGCGUAAAGCGUGCGUAGGCUGUUUCGUAAGUCGUGUGUGAAAGGCGCGGGCUCAACCCGCGGACGGCACAUGAUACUGCGAGACUAGAGUAGUGGAGGGGGAACCGGAAUUCUCGGUGUAGCAGUGAAAUGCGUAGAUAUCGAGAGGAACACUCGUGGCGAAGGCGGGUUCCUGGACAUUAACUGACGCUGAGGCACGAAGGCCAGGGGAGCGAAAGGGAUUAGAUACCCUUGUAGU